CCAAUAGCGUAUAUUAAAGUUGUUGCAGUUAAAAAGCUCGUAGUUGAAUUUCGGGAUCAAUUAAUUGGUCGUACCUCUGGUACGUACUGAUUUUAUUGGUUUCUCCCUUCUGACGAACCAUGAUGUCAUUAAUUUGGUGUGGUGGAGAAUCAGGACUGUUACUUUGAAAAAAUUAGAGUGUUUAAAGCAAGCUAACGCUUGAAUACAUUA
rnacentral:rRNA from 1 species